rnacentral:rRNA from 1 species
UGCGUACCUUUUGUAUAAUGGGUCAGCGACUUAUAUUCUGUAGCAAGGUUAACCGCAUAGGGGAGCCGGAGGGAAACCGAGUCUUAAUUGGGCGUUAAGUUGCAGGGUAUAGACCCGAAACCCGGUGAUCUAGCCAUGGGCAGGUUGAAGGUUGGGUAACACUAACUGGAGGACCGAACCGACUAAUGUUGAAAAAUUAGCGGAUGACCUGUGGCUGGGGGUGAAAGGCCAAUCAAACCGGGAGAUAGCUGGUUCUCCCCGAAAGCUAUUUAGGUAGCGCCUCGUGAAUUCAUCUCCGGGGGUAGAGCACUGUUUCGGCUAGGGGGCCAUCCCGGCUUACCAACCCGAUGCAAACUGCGAAUACCGGAGAAUGUUAUCACGGGAGACACACGGCGGGUGCUAACGUCCGUCGUGAAGAGGGAAACAACCCAGACCGCCAGCUAAGGUCCCAAAGUCAUGGUUAAGUGGGAAACGAUGUGGGAAGGCCCAGACAGCCAGGAUGUUGGCUUAGAAGCAGCCAUCAUUUAAAGAAAGCGUAAUAGCUCACUGGUCGAGUCGGCCUGCGCGGAAGAUGUAACGGGGCUAAACCAUG